rnacentral:sRNA from 2 species
UAUUUCUCCGGACGGGGAAAGGUGAGAAGCUUCGACUCAGGUUCAAUUCGGGCGUAGCGAGAAAGCGUUGCCGCAGGCAACGACCCGAAGGGCGAGUCGCCGCGCGACGCGUCAUCCUUCCCCCACAUGCU